rnacentral:siRNA from 1 species
GUGUUGGGCCUGAUGGGCUUCU